rnacentral:rRNA from 1 species
UUGAACGCUGGCGGCAUGCCUUACACAUGCAAGUCGAACGGUAACGCGGGGCAACCUGGCGACGAGUGGCGAACGGGUGAGUAAUGCAUCGGAACGUGCCCAGUAGUGGGGGAUAGCCCGGCGAAAGCCGGAUUAAUACCGCAUACGACCUACGGGUGAAAGCGGGGGACCGCAAGGCCUCGCGCUAUUGGAGCGGCCGAUGUCGGAUUAGCUAGUUGGUGGGUAAGGCCUACCAAGGCGACGAUCCGUAGCUG